rnacentral:rRNA from 1 species
GACGAACGCUGGCGGCGUGCCUAAUACAUGCAAGUUGAGCGCUGAAGGUUGGUACUUGUACCGACUGGAUGAGCAGCGAACGGGUGAGUAACGCGUGGGGAAUCUGCCUUUGAGCGGGGGACAACAUUUGGAAACGAAUGCUAAUACCGCAUAAAAACUUUAAACACAAGUUUUAUGUUUGAAAGAUGCAAUUGCAUCACUCAAAGAUGAUCCCGCGUUGUAUUAGCUAGUUGGUGAGGUAAAGGCUCACCAAGGCGAUGAUACAUAGCCGACCUGAGAGGGUGAUCGGCCACAUUGGGACUGAGACACGGCCCAAACUCCUACGGGAGGCAGCAGUAGGGAAUCUUCGGCAAUGGACGAAAGUCUGACCGAGCAACGCCGCGUGAGUGAAGAAGGUUUUCGGAUCGUAAAACUCUGUUGGUAGAGAAGAACGUUGGUGAGAGUGGAAAGCUCAUCAAGUGACGGUAACUACCCAGAAAGGGACGGCUAACUACGUG